rnacentral:rRNA from 1 species
UACGAAGGGGGCUAGCGUUGUUCGGAAUUACUGGGCGUAAAGCGCACGUAGGCGGACUAUUAAGUCAGGGGUGAAAUCCCGGGGCUCAACCCCGGAACUGCCUUUGAUACUGGUAGUCUCGAGUCCGGAAGAGGUGAGUGGAAUUCCGAGUGUAGAGGUGAAAUUCGUAGAUAUUCGGAGGAACACCAGUGGCGAAGGCGGCUCACUGGUCCAGUACUGACGCUGAGGUGCGAAAGCGUGGGGAGCAAACAGG